rnacentral:rRNA from 1 species
UUCCGGUUGAUCCUGCCGGAGGUUACUGCUAUCGGAGUUCGAUUAAGCCAUGCGAGUCGAGAGGGUUCGGCCCUCGGCAGACUGCUCAGUAACACGUGGAUAACCUAACCUCGGGUCGGGGAUAAUCCCGGGAAACUGGGGAUAAUACCCGAUUCGUUACCUGUGCUGGAAUGCUUGGUAGCCAAAAGCUCCGGCGCCCGAGGAUGGGUCUGCGGCGGAUUAGGUUGUCGCCGGUGUAAUGUACCGACGAGCCGAUAAUCCGUACGGGUUGUGAGAGCAAGAGCCCGGAGAUGGAUUCUGAGACACGAAUCCAGGCCCUACGGGGCGCAGCAGGCGCGGAAACUUUACAAUGCAGGAAACUGCGAUAAGGGAACUCCGAGUGUUUGGGACAUUCUCAAACUGUUCGGGUACCUAAAUAGUAUCUGAUAGUAAGGGCCGGGCAAGACCGGUGCCAGCCGCCGCGGUAACACCGGCGGCCCGAGUGGUAACCGAUAUUAUUGAGCUUAAAGGGCCCGUAGCCGGCCUGGCAAGUCCCUUGGGAAAUCUAACGGCUUAACCGUUAGGCGUCCAGGGGAUACUACCAGGCUUGGGACCGGGAGAGGUAGGAGGUACUCCGGGGGUAGGGGUGAAAUCCUGUAAUCCUCGGGGGACCACCGGUGGCGAAGGCGUCCUACCAGAACGGCUCCGACGGUGAGGGACGAAAGCUAGGGGCACGAACCGGAUUAGAUACCCGGGUAGUCCUAGCCGUAAACGAUGCGGGCUAGGUGUCACAGUAGCCAUGAGCUACUGUGGUGCCGCAGGGAAACCGUGAAGCCUGCCGCUUGGGAAGUACGUCCGCAAGGAUGAAACUUAAAGGAAUUGGCGGGGGAGCAUUAA